CAGGUGGCGACACCGCGCGGAACCCGAAAGCCGUUCUCAGUUCGGAUUGGAGUCUGCAACCCGACUCCAUGAAGCUGGAUUCGCUAGUAAUCGCGCAUCAGCCACGGCGCGGUGAAUACGUUCCCGGGCCUUGUACACACCGCCCGUCAAGCCAUGGAAGCCGGGAGUGCCUGAAGUGCGUAACCGCGAGGAGCGCCCUAGGGUAAAACUGGUGACUGGGGCUAAGUCGUAACAAGGUACC
rnacentral:rRNA from 1 species